AAAAAGUGUGCUAGUCAUUUAAAUGGCGCUACGAAUCAAUAUUGAUUCGGCGGGGUAUGGCUAUCAAGACAUACCCAGAACGUAAUUUUCGAUAACGUGAGGCUGCCACUAUAAAAAAAAUAAUGCGAGUGGAACGUCUCU